rnacentral:rRNA from 1 species
UUAUUGGUGCUUGCACCUUUAAAAUUUUAGCGGCGGACGGGUGAGUAACACGUGGGUAACCUACCUUAUAGAUUGGGAUAACUCCGGGAAACCGGGGCUAAUACCGAAUAAUACUUUUUAACACAUGUUUUAAAGUUGAAAGACGGUUUCGGCUGUCACUAUAAAAUGGACCCCCGGCGCAUUAGCUAGUUGGGGAGGUAACGGCUCCCCAAGGCAACAAUGCGUAGCCAACCUGAAAGGGUGAUCGGCCACCCUGGGACUGAAACCCGGCCCAAACUCCUACGGGAGGCAGCAUUAGGGAAUCUUCCCCAAUGGACAAAAGUCUGAUGGAGCAACCCCCCGUGAGUGAAAAAGGAUUUCGGUUCGUAAAACUUUGUUGCAAGGGAAAAACAAGUAGCGUAGUAACUGGCGCUACCUUGACGGUACCUUGUUAAAAAGCCCCGGCUAACUACGUGCCAGCAGCCCCGGUAAUACCUAGGUGGCAAGCGUUGUCCGAAAUUAUUGGGCGUAAAGCGCCCCCAGGUGGUUCCUUAAGUCUGAUGUGAAAGCCCCCGGCUCAACCGGGGA